rnacentral:lncRNA from 1 species
UUUGAAUAAUCUGAGAUACGAGAUUCCCUGGAUUAAGUGCCGUGGCUUGCCACCACGUGUACUAGGUUGAAAACUCGAUACUCUAUUGACCCUACGACGUAAGUGUGACCGGGCACUAUAUAAAUUCCCGGGAAUGUUACCCCCAUUGAGCAAUAUUGAUUAUUUGAGAAAAAUCUAUGCAUAGACUCUUGGGGAUGCACGUCGGGGGACAGUCUAAGGACAAUUCAGACUUGUCGGGUUGGCUGGAUAACCGACAGAUGAGCCUCAUCAGCCAUAGGACAGGCAUGCAUCAUAUGCAUAUUACUUGAAUUACUUGCUUGUGCUCUAAUUGGGUGUGCCUAUCUGUAUUUGCCAUGCUAAAUGUGUAUUUGUUACCUGCAGUAGUUGUAACUUUCUUGUGUUUGCCUUUAUCUGUUUAUUUGUCUGUGAAAAUGCAUGAUGGAAUUGGAGGUAUGGAGGAAUGGCAGUAUAGGACUUAGAUUUAAGGUUAAGUUAAGUUAGGAUUAAAUAUUUCUAGGAAACCACCUUUUAUGGCUUCUGUUUAAUACUUUAAGCUCUACAAUCUGAGUGUCGGCGUUCUAGGAUUGCCUCUGGCAUUCCCAGGACCUUAUAUAUUAUGUGUGUGGCACCUUUACCAUACUGAGAACCUCCGGUUCUCAUUCCAUACUAUGUUGUUAUUUUUCAGAUGCAGG